AUGGGCUACCUUGACGGCUCGAUCAAGGAACCCGCUACUGUCAUCGUCACCGAGAAGGAGACCAAUGGGAAAAAGGAGAUCGCCGAGCUGCCCAAUCCAGAGCAUGCGAUCUGGGUUACCCAAGAUCAACAGGUCCUAACUUUUUUGCUCGCAUCUCUAUCCCAUGAAGUUCUGAUGCAGGUGUCCAAUCACACCACGGCAGCGGGCGUCUGGCAAGCCCUGGUCGAGAGCUUUUCCGCGCAGUCCCGAGCGCGCCAAAUUCAGCUUCGCUCCGCGAUCGGCAACGCCCGCAAGGGCGAUCUCUCUGCGUCUGCUUACUUCACGAAUAUGAAGGGGUUAGCAGAUGAACUUGCUGCUGCGGGAAAACCCCUCGAGGAGGACGAUAUCGUCUCGCACAUCCUC
rnacentral:rRNA from 1 species